rnacentral:misc_RNA from 1 species
GAUGAAGAACGUAGCGAAAUGCGAUAAGUAAUGUGAAUUGCAGAAUUCAGUGAAUCAUCGAAUCUUUGAACGCACCUUGCGCCUUUUGGUAUUCCGAAAGGCACACCUGUUUGAGCGUCAUGAAUACCUCAAUCUCCAUCUUUUCUUCGGAUUGAUGGGUGACUUGGAUGUUGAGCCCUGCUGGUAUGCUAUAUCAGCUGGCUUUAAACUUAUUAGCCGGCUCUGUACUGGAUCGGUUUGACUCGACGUGAUAAUAUUAUCGUUGAGGAUGCAUGUCUCAUGCAGCCGGAUAGUAUCAAAGCAGCUUCUAGCUUGCCUUUAGUGCACUUUUACAUUUUAGACCUCAGAUCAGGUGGGACUACCCGCUGAACUUAAGCAUAUCAAUAAGCGGAGGA